rnacentral:rRNA from 1 species
AGUGGCGGACGGGUGAGUAACACGUAAGAACCUGCCUCUUGGCCGGGGACAACAGUUGGAAACGACUGCUAAAUCCCGGAUGAGCCGAAAGGUAAAAGAUUAAUCGCCAAGAGAGGGGCUUGCGUCUGAUUAGCUAGUUGGUAGUGUAAGGGACUACCAAGGCGACGAUCAGUAGCUGGUCUGAGAGGAUGAUCAGCCACACUGGGACUGAGACACGGCCCAGACUCCUACGGGAGGCAGCAGUGGGGAAUUUUCCGCAAUGGGCGAAAGCUGACGGAGCAAGACCGCGUGGGGGAGGAAGGUUCUUGGAUUGUCAACCCCUUUUCUCAGGGAAGAAGAAAGUGACGGUACCUGAGGAAGAAGCAUCGGCUAACUCCGUGCCAGCAGCCGCGGUAAUACGGAGGAUGCAAGCGUUAUCCGGAAUGAUUGGGCGUAAAGAGUCCGUAGUGGGCCCUUCAAGUCUGCUGUUAAAGAGCGAGGCUUAACUUCGGAAAAGCAGUGGAAACUGGAGAGCUAGAGUGUAGUAGGGGCAGAGGGAAUUCCUGGUGUAGCGGUGAAAUGCGUAGAGAUCAGGAAGAACACCGGUGGCGAAAGCCUCUGCUGGGCUACAACUGACACUGAGGGACGAAAGCUAGGGGAGCGAAUGGGAUUAGAUACCCCAGUAGUCCUAGCGGUAAACGAUGGAAACUAGGUGUGGCCUGUAUCGACCCGGGCCGUGCCGGAGCAAACGCGUUAAGUUUCCCGCCUGGGGAGUACGCACGCAAGUGUGAAACUCAAAGGAAUUGACGGGGGCCCGCACAAGCGGUGGAGUAUGUGGUUUAAUUCGAUGCAACGCGAAGAACCUUACCAGGACUUGACAUCUCUGGAAUCUCUCUGAAAGGAGAGAGUGCCUUAGGAACCAGAAGACAGGUGCUGCAUGGCUGUCGUCAGCUCGUGUCGUGAGAUGUUGGGUUAAGUCCCGCAACGAGCGCAACCCUCGUCGUUAGUUGCCAUCAUUAAGUUGGGAACUCUAGCGAGACUGCCGGUGACAAACCGGAGGAAGGUGAGGAUGACGUCAAGUCAGCAUGGCCCUUACGUCCUGGGCGACACACGUACUACAAUGCUAAGGACAGAGAGCAGCCAACCCGCGAGGGAGAGCGAAUCUCUUAAACCUUGGCACAGUUCAGAUUGAAGCUUGCAACUCAGCUUCAUGAAGGAGGAAUCGCUAGUAAUCGCAGGUCAGCAUACUGCGGUGAAUCCGUUCCCGGGCCUUGUACACACCGCCCGUCACACCAUGGAAGUGAGCCACGCCCGAAGUCAUUACUCUAACCCCUAGUGGGAGGAGGGUGCCGAAGGCAGGGCUGAUGACUGGGGU